rnacentral:rRNA from 1 species
UACGUAGGGUGCGAGCGUUAAUCGGAAUUACUGGGCGUAAAGCGUGCGCAGGCGGUUCGUUAUGUCCGAUGUGAAAGCCCCGAGCUCAACUUGGGAAUGGCAUUGGAAACUGGCGGGCUGGAGUGUGGCAGAGGGGGGUGGAAUUCCACGUGUAGCAGUGAAAUGCGUAGAGAUGUGGAGGAACGCCGAUGGCGAAGGCAGCCCCCUGGGCCAACACUGACGCUCAGGCACGAAAGCGUGGGGAGCAAACAGG